rnacentral:tRNA from 1 species
ACCCAGGUGGCUCAGCCAGUUAAGCAUCUGACUUCAGCUCAGAUCAUGAUCUCACAGUUUGUGGGUUUGAGCCCCAUGUUGGGCU